rfam:Aspergillus clavatus NRRL 1 1099423829796 genomic scaffold, whole genome shotgun sequence.
GGUCUUGUAGCUCAGUUGGUUAGAGCGUGGUGCUAAUAACGCCAAGGUCGCGAGUUCGACCCUCGUCGGGACCA